AAAAAUAACAGAAUAAAUUGAGAAAUUGAACACACAAAUUUAACAUGGAAAAACUCCUCCAAAGUGGAUAAAAACCACGGGCAAAGAUAAUUUUACUAUAAUGGAAAAAUAACGAAGAGUACAAAAGAUAGAGAUAAAAAAAAAACUAAACCCUGAAAACCCAAAAACAAAGAACCCUCAAAACGUAAACACAAAAUUCUCUAAAUGUGUUAUGAGUUCUAAUCUCCAAUUGGUGUAGGGCACCAAGACUCGACAGGUCCAGGCAAUUUUGUUCCCUUUUGAAGUCUUUGCUUCGUUACCGUUAUACGAUAAUGAGCAAAAAGGGGCAGCUGUAAGGCCCAAAAUUUGCCCCGCCCAAACCACUAGAAGCUAAGCAGACCUAAACCUAAGUACCCAUUUACAAACAUGGCCCAAACAGCCCAAAAACACAAACAAAUUCCAAAAAAAAAACUCUAGGAGCCAUCAUUUGCAACCGAGGCAGUCCCCAGGCACCGCAUGUCACGUGACUUUUCCUAUCGUGCACCACUCCACCUCCACGUCAGAGUCCACACCUAGCACGUACCUGCAAACAAGCAAAAGAGGUUGGAAAAUUGGCUAUAAAAGCCAAAUUGAAUCAAAUGGAAAAACAUCUUUUUUUUCCCGAUUUUUGGAUAUACACAAUAGCAGAAUGUGCAAGAGUAAUUGAUAUCAAUAAAAAAUCAGAUUGAAGGCCUAGAAGGUUGUUCUUUAUUCUUUUCCAUUUCAUAUUUCUUUUUCUUUUUGUUUUUCUUACUUUCUUUUCCUUGCAAACUAUUUUUACAUCAAAAUCGGGGAAAAAGAGGCUUACCUGGCCUUACCCCGUGGUUCGGCGUCAGAGGUGGAGGCGCAGAAGCACCGAUGACCCUCGUGCGCGGCAUCUUAAAGCAGAGGCGAAUCCCUAGCAGAGGGUGAGUCUAAAAGGGGGUUUUGAAUUUUCUUGAAGAUAAUCUGCAAGGCUGCUGUUUUGGGGAAGGGGUUUCUUUCUUUUUAGCUUUUACAAUACGUUUAAAACAGUACCAUUUGGUGCUGGGCUCACACGUUUGACCCAAAAUGGGUAAUUUAUGUGUUAAGUCCCCCCCUUUGCAAUAGUGAUCAAUUGGGCCUUGCUUAUGCUUUCUUGGAUUCUUUAAAUUUAUCCCUAAAAUUUACGUGUCAUUCCAGUUUAGUUCGCGUUUAGAUGCAGCAUUUUGGGACUUGGGGAAUUUGCAUUUUUAGUUCCUGCUUGUUAGUGCUUAUCUAGUUCAAGUCCUGGAUUUUGUUUUAAUAAUUUGAUUUGUUUAAAACUAUCCUCUAGAUUUUGUUUUUGUUCCAAUGGAGUUCUU
rnacentral:lncRNA from 1 species